GCAAGUCAAGGGGGCUCUUCGGAGCAACCGGCAGACGAGGUAGUAACACGUGGGUACGUCCCCCAAAGUCUGGCAUAGCCGGCCGAAAGGUCGGGUAAUUCCAGAUAGUCCCGCAAGGGUAAAGAUUUUUCGCUUUGGGAGCGGCCCGCGUCGUAUCAGCUUGUUGGUGAGGUAAAAGCUCACCAAGGCUAUGACGCGUAGGGGAGGUGAGAGCCUGACC
rnacentral:rRNA from 1 species